ACUAGAGGACCAAGAAGGCUGUCUGAUGAAGCAGGACUUUGCUGACACACCUCCUAGAAACAGAGGUGGAGAGAACAAAGCCCUGAUUGGAGAAAAACAUAGGGUUGACUCUACUACCCAACAUUU